rnacentral:rRNA from 1 species
GUGGAUUAGAUACCCUGGUAGUCCACGCCGUAAACGAUGGAUACUAGCUGUUGGGAGUAAUCUCAGUGGCUAAGCGAAAGUGAUAAGUAUCCCACCUGGGGAGUACGUUCGCAAGAAUGAAACUCAAAGGAAUUGACGGGGGCCCGCACAAGCGGUGGAGCAUGUGGUUUAAUUCGAUGAUACGCGAGGAACCUUACCAAGGCUUAAAUGUAGAUUGACAGGUUUGGAAACAGACUUUUCUUCGGACAAUUUACAAGGUGCUGCACGGCCGUCGACAACU